UACGUAGGGUGCGAGCGUUAAUCGGAAUUACUGGGCGUAAAGUGUGCGCAGGCGGCCGCGCAAGUCGAGUGUGAAAGCCCCGGGCUUAACUUGGGAAUUGCGCUCGAAACUACGUGGCUGGAGUGUGGCAGAGGAAGGUGGAAUUCCACGUGUAGCGGUGAAUGCGUAGAGAAUGUGGAGGAACACCAAUGGCGAAGGCAGCCUUCUGGGCCAACACUGACGCUCAUGCACGAAAGCGUGGGGAGCAAACAGGA
rnacentral:rRNA from 1 species